rnacentral:rRNA from 1 species
UACGUAGGGUGCGAGCGUUGUCCGGAAUUAUUGGGCGUAAAGGGCUCGUAGGCGGUUUGUCGCGUCGGGAGUGAAAACCUCGGGCUUAACUCGGGGCUUGCUUUCGAUACGGGCAGACUGGAGGUAUGCAGGGGAGAACGGAAUUCCUGGUGUAGCGGUGAAAUGCGCAGAUAUCGGGAGGAACACCGGUGGCGAAGUCGGUUCUCUGGGCCUUACCUGACGCUGAGGAGCGAAAGCGUGGGGAGCGAACAGG